rnacentral:lncRNA from 1 species
CCAAACAAGCCCAAGGCUGAGCAGGAAAAAAUCACUGACACUAAGCCAGCAGGAAGAAACCCUAACCAUGAACCUCUUCUAUAACAGACUUUGAGUGUGACCUCCUCUGCUUCCCCUCAAGGGCUGUUGUUUGAGGAAGACUGAAGCUGCUCGCAGGAGAAUCCAGAAGGGCAUUGCAAAGGUGACCUUAGUACCAACAAAAAGAGACUUAAAGAUGGACAGUGAAUGUGGAAGAUAGAAAAAUCUGAACAAGAUGAAAGAAGACAGGAGCCUUGAAAAAAACCCAGUCUGUCACAUAUCAGGGGCACAACAUCUGGACAUCAGUAGCAGACAGACUGCCUGUUGUCCUGAUCCAGCUGCUUUCUUCUGGCUCAGCCUGAAAACUCAGGAGAGAGCACAAGUAGGGAUUAAUGAGCUGUUUUCAGGGAAAGCAAAUGCUCCAGGGAAGAUGGCACGGAGGUUUCAGAUAUUCAACAGACCAGCUCCUGCACACUCUCUGUUUAAACCUUCCCAAGUUUAACAACAACUGAGGAUCCAUUUUGCUUGAUCAGGCUCUCAAGAAGGUGCUGAAGUUACUUCCAGCAGCCUGAGAAGGUGCUGGUAUGUAAUGAUAAAAAUACUACACCUGAGCAGACAUUCUGUUUCCUUUUGGAAUAACAGACCAGAUGGCUUGGCUUACAAGACUGACUCAGGCAGCAGUAGCUGCAAUAGAUCUUCAGGUGUUAUAAAUUUUGACACUGUGAUAACCUGAUAUUUGAAAUCUUGCUAUGGUAUUCAGAAAUGUUUAAUAAAGUAAUUCAAGUGUAUUAUUGGACA